rnacentral:rRNA from 1 species
GACAGAGGAUGCAAGCGUUAUCCGGAAUGAUUGGGCGUAAAGCGUCUGUAGGUGGCUUUUCAAGUCCGCCGUCAAAUCCCAGGGCUCAACCCUGGACAGGCGGUGGAAACUACCAAGCUGGAGUACGGUAGGGGCAGAGGGAAUUUCCGGUGGAGCGGUGAAAUGCGUAGAUAUCGAGAGGAACACCUGCGGCGAAGGCGGGUUGCUGGGCCGACACUGACGCUGAUGCGCGAAAGCCAGGGGAGCGAACGGG